CCUGACUGGUGGGAUGGCUUAUGCCUGCACCAUCGACCGACCAUGAUCUUCUGUGAAAGGUUUGAGUACGAGCAUACCUGUUGGGACCCGAAAGAUGGUGAACUAUGCCUGAGCAGGGCGAAGCCAGAGGAAACUCUGGUGGAGGCUCGUAGAUGUGCUGACGUGCAAAUCGCUUUUCGGACUUGGGUAUAGGGGCGAAAGACUACUAGUAGCUGGUUCCCUCCGAAGUUUCCCCCAGGAUAGCUGGAGCUUGAUCAGUUUUAUCGGGUAAAGCGAAUGAUUAGAGGUACCGGGGAUGAAACAUCCUCGACCUAUUCUCAAACUUUAAAUAGGUAAGACGUCUGGGUUGCUUAAUUGAACCCAGGCAUUCAAUGAGAGCUCCAAGUGGGCCAUUUUUGGUAAGCAGAACUGGCGAUGCGGGA
rnacentral:rRNA from 1 species